UGACAUUACCUCGGGAAAACCGGUUUGCAACCGACCCAGACCGGACCAAUUAAUUAAACCGAUGCGGCCUCGACCGGGCUCCCGCGCCCACCACAGGAUCGUACGACCUGCAUUCCGCCACGUUUCCCGAGCCAAACGCGAUGGCGACGACAUCUCACGUCUCGCUCGGGCCCACUUUCCUCGUUUGCCUCGUCCCCUGGUCGGGCGGCCAUGAUUGGUGCCGUCACGUGGCGUGGCUUCCGGAGCGGGCGUGAUCGCGCCACGAUUCGUGCGGUCGUGGAAACGGACGGUGGAUUUCAGGGUCGCGUGCGGGGAGCCGUUCGGGCACGUGCACGGUGAGGGCUUGGGAAGUACGCUGUGCCCACCCGGCCCAAUCGGCAGUCGACAGAGUCCGGAAUCCCUAAGAACAUUUCCCUCUCCUGCGUGAUCCUGAUCUCUCUCUCUCUCUCUCUCUCUCUCUCUCUGUGCGCGGGCGUGUACGACGCAAGGACGAAUUGUAUACGCAACAAAUAAUUAGGAAUCAGCAGCGGCAUUUAAGACGAUCACGUCUUGAUCGCUACAAAUGAAGCGAGGCGGCGAGAGAGAGUAGCCGGAAACCCUAAUGGAAGAGUUCCGCAGAGAGAGAGAGAAGGGGACGGGCGCGUUCCUCUUCUUCCAUCUUCUAUUUGGUGGUGGAUCUUCUUAUUCUUCUUCUUCUUAUUCGUCUUGGUUUGAGUUUGUGGUCGAUUGGAAGGGGGUUGUGGAGUCUCGUCCGGGGCGGUUGGGGGGGUUGACAGAAGAGAGUGAGCACACGGCGGCGAUCGCAUCGGCGGGGUGCCAUCGCUGUUGCGUGCUCACCUCUCUCUCUGUCAUCCCGAUAUCUCCGGAUCCGUUUCUUCAUCCGAUGGCGAUCGUGGUGUCUUGGUGUGGAAGUGGUAAAAAGAGUGGCGACGGGAAAAAGGUGAGGGUGCGUUUUGCUGGACAUGCGCGCAGGCUCUUUUUCUAUGUCGGCAGCUCGUCUCUGAGCAGUCUCGUCAUGGGCGGGUUACCGAGGUAGAGAGUAGGAGUGUCGUAUCCGGUUAUGAUGGUGGUCGUGUACUUCUUUCCAUUUCUGGAGGUUUCUAUUUUUCCUGAUACAGCUACGGAAGCAAGAAAUCAAGGAAGAGGAAGACGGUGAGAAAGAAAAAUCUCAUCUUGGUGGAUCUGAGAGUGGAAGCGUGGCUUCUGCGUUGAAGGCGAUUUGCAUCGGGGAGCGAGCUCGGAUGGGUGCAGAUUCAGACGUCUCCUCCCUCUCUUUAUCUUCUGCUUUCCGUCUUUAUCUUCUGCCGCUUACUCGGAUUUAUGGAAAUCGCUGUUGACCGAUGGAUGAUGAACUGAUCUUUGGAACUCGAAGGCCAGUUCCAUUGGUUACGAUAAUCUCGAGGUGGUGUCCUCUUGCUUCUCGUAUUAAUAUCUUUUUCUUUAUUGCUCGAAAUGUCUCGGCUUGCCUGCUUUCUGUUGCUGAUUCCGACCCUAUUCCUCUUACUUAUUGCAUGCACUUAAGGGUUGCUGCACGCAUGCAUCAAGCAAUCAUUGAGUUGGUUUUCCUGUUGGAAGUCGGAUGAAUCUGUGGAUGCUCCAUAAGGCUUCGGUAAGUCGUCGGACUUCGUUUCGUGGUCGACGUUCUACCUCAUUACUAGUUGAGGAAAGAGUCUCGUCUGCUUUUGGUUAUGCGACGGAGGGCUUUAUUCCUUUGGUCACAGGAAAGCUUUAUCACAUCGGGCAACAAUGGAGCUUCUUAUGGUUUCUUUCUCGGUUAGGGAGUGAAAUUGUGCUUUUAUAUUAUAUCCAACUUGAUGCAUAUUAGAUUACCUAAAUUCCUGUCUUCUGAUGUGACGAUGUGAAUGGCUAUAGCUAUAGGAAUGGAAUUUAGGAAGAGAAAGUUCAUAAAUUUAGGUCUUUUCUUUGAUCUAUGCCCUUUACAAUGCCAAGAAAAUCUUGUUGACAGAACUGAAUUUUUAGGAACCCACAUAGAACUUAAGAUCAGAUAUUGUUAAUUCAUUGGAAAAUCUGUGUUUGUUUUCCACGGGAUGAAAUUAAAAUGUCUCCUGUUUAACGAGAUUGUCACGUUUGCUAACAUAAGAUUUGAUUGAUCUGUGGUAAUUUUUUUAUUAUAAUUAUACUUAUGAGUUUAUGAGGCAUGACUGACCCUUUUCACCCUUUUUACCAUGAAACUUCUGCCAAAUGGACUCUUUAACCACAGCAUUUUUGGGGACAAGAAGAAAACAACAAUACAAAAGCUCAAAGAAAGCUAAAUAUUGGUUGAAUGAUUGAUGAAGAAAAAGCAAGUACUGAAUCAUUGAACGUGAAGGGGAAGCAUAUUGAUUGCCUGAUGGACUAUGACAAGGAAUUGUCAGGGGGAAUUUCGGUGGUUAUAAAUCUUUUCAUUAUAGUGGAAAAGACAAUGUCCUACCAUUUAGCUCAUAAUCAUUUGACCCAAUUCAUUUGUGUCAUUCCAGUCCUUGUUCUUCUACAGCUAUUUGAUGUGUUUUGUAUUUGGAAAGAUGCUAUAAUGUCGAUGUCCUUCAGAAUCAUUUACUAUUUUAUUAUACUUACACUUAUUUACUUUACAUAUUUAUGGUCCUUUUUUGAGUUGCUUCCUAUUGCGUAAAUGCUUGUUUAAGUUUGGUAUCGAUUCAGGAGGUUAUACAGCUCUUCCCUUAAUUAAGUUGUCUAUGAUGGAUAGAAAUGAAGUGCAUCUUAGUGUUGCUUGUUUUCCUGAACCCUAGUAGAGGCCAGGAAUAUAAUUACCUGCAUUUUUCAUGAUUCUAAACACCUUUGUCAGACUACAGAUAUGUUCCUGUCUUUAUGUUCUUACAUUUUUGAGAAAAUAUUCCAUGCUGGCUUUCCUACCCAAGUUCUUUAAAUUUUCUUUUAUCUUUUCUCUAAGCAGAUAGAAGCACUACCAGUUUUACUGGAUAAAUAUUGUUGCUAUUGUUAAUUCUUGAACAUAUUAUCUUAUCUAUAUUUUGCACAAUUUGCUUCAAAAUCAGUUAAGUCUGACUAAUUCAGCACCAUUGCUUUCUUGAUCCAGGAUUACUAUAGUUCAAUAACCUGGAAGGACACUUUUAUAACAAAGAUGUUUCUUAAAGUUAGAUUUAAGGCUAACAGGGAUUCAGAAUUUUGAUGACACAUAGAACAAGUUUUUUAAGAAAGAAUUUACUUCUUCCAUUCAAAUACUACAUAAUGUGUGCACAAGACUCCUACAACCGGACUUGGAUUCCUUACAUUACUACACACAUUUCUCCUUGAACAGUAAGCUGUCUCCUUCAAAGACCACACAGUCUAAGUGACUUUGCAAGACAGAUAUCAUCACAUUUUAAGUGAUAAUGUAUUACCAUGAAUGGUGUUUGAUUGGAAGAGACUGUAAGCAAAUGUUAUCUGGGUUGGCAUUUGUUGAAUUGACUUAUUAGUAUACAUUAAAUGUUCGUUAAUGUGCUGACUUCUUAGCUCUUAAAUGGCAUUUACUUUGUUGACCUUCUUUUAUCAAGUCCAUCAUUGAUUCUUUUGAUACAGAAGGUCUAUGUGCUAUUUCGAGUGCAACACUGUCAUUUAAUGUGGCUUAGAAAUUGAAAUACAAGAUAUAGAUGGAUUUAUUGGAACUUUCUGAAAGCUUUUGUUCUUCUCGUCUGAAAUCUACGAAGCAAAUACUAUAUCUGAAAUUUAAUUAUUAAAUCCCUUCUUGAUUUGUUUCUCCAUGUCCGGACCGUCAACCAAGCUUUUGUUCUUGUUGUCUAUCUUUCUAAUAUAUAUUUCAAACUAUUGCGAUAUCUCAUAGAAGAUGAGAGCAGAAAGGCCCCCCAUGAGACAUGAGAGUAGAAAAGGAGAUCUAAGUUAAAAAAGGAAGACACAAUGCAGAAUGUGGGUUUUGGUAGGGUUAAAGGUUACAAUCUUAUUGUUAUAGGCAGAUGAGUUCAUUCCCAUGAUUUAUACGAUUACCUGAAUAUAGUAGUCUUUGGUAUGCUUCUAUUUAUCUAGGAAAUAAUCUGGAAAUGCAUCUAAAGCUUACAUGAUUGGAGAAAAUUCGUGAGUACUGAAUGAUUGUAUGCUUUUGAAUGCUAAAAAAUACUUGAUAUGGACAAAUUCAUAACUUGACCAUAUCUUUUACCCGAAGUCCCUUUGUGGAUGAGGGAUGUCUUCAAUUUCAAGUUAUUUUCUUAAGGUCUGUUGUGUGGUGCUUUAGGGUUUUGCACUGCCAUUGGCAUCUUGAUGCUUUUGUCUUAUCAAUUCAUAAAUCUAAUGAAACAGUGGAUUUGUGUGAGCUUUUCUAAUAUAAGAAUAGAUUGUAAUUGUACCAUGUUCAAGGUGUGAGUUUUAUGAUGUGGUUCAUAUUUGGUGAUCAUCUUGAUAUGAGAUAGACAUAAAGUGAUUUAUUAUGUUUAAGGAUUGUAGUAACUCAGCAUCAAGCAAGGAUUUUUUUUCCCUGAUUAUAUACAUAAAUGGUGCAUCGUUCGCUCUUCUUUAUAGCUGCAAACAUCUUUCUUUCCUUUCAUGAUUCCAAAUUGGCAAACUCCAGGAUUUGAUUGCUGAUUUAAUUCUUGUUGUGGCGCCAAGCUCCGUGAUGAUACAACAAAAUUGUUGCUGUGUAGCAUCUACUGUUGCAAAAAUUACACAUUUGCCAAAGGUAUCAGAAUUAAUUGAUUGUGAUGCUGUCAUUUUGACGGUAGCAAGAGUUUCAUAGCAGAAGAGAGCCAUCUCCAGGAGCAUCCUUCGACAACGUUUCUUCUUGUGAAUCAUUAAGCUUGGAUUGGAAAGCUGAAGCAGAAGCCAUCAAGUUGAGAAGCUUUCAUCUGAUGCGACCGGUCACUGUGCCAUGUCUUGGUGAUCUUUCUACAUGUCAACAAUCCCUCAAGAAAAGAUGGGAAACAAAGCAGAGCAGCUACACAAAACAGAGCAAGAGACUAAGAAAACAGUGGUCCUGAUCUCCAUGGCUUGUGGGGAGUGCAGAGGCAUCAUAAACAUGAAUACCAGACUUGAUGCACUUGAUAGCAACUGCAAGAAUUAAUGUUUCCACGAUCACAAGAGGGAAGGAGAGAGAAAUGUCGUCGUGGUCUGUAAUGUUCACAGGCUGCCAUUAAUGGUGCUUCGCCAACGAGUGUGUGUAGGAAAGGGAGGACGAGGAGGGAGUCACCGGCCUCAUUGUUCCAUAGUCAGAGCUACCAUGGUGUGAUGAAAGCUUUGCCAUGUCUUCAUUUCAAGCUCGGCUGCGGUUGGAAUCCUCCUCCUGCUUUGACUGUCUUGAUAGCCAAACAGUCUUUUUUUGAGCCAUAUAAAUUCCUCAGCCUCUCGUGUGGAGUCCGUUGCUGCCCCUCUAGAAGUGAAGAGAUAGAAGUCAACUUUAAGCCAUCAGAGAAAGGUGGAGAUCAGCAUAAGUCGGUCGAGAGUUGUGAUUCGGGCUAUUAAGAUAGCAAGAGGAAAUCUGUUUCACGGAUACGUGCCAUCAAAGGUGUUUUGACUUUAUCCUCACCACAAGAUUAUUUCUACAUGUGUAAGCAAUACUUUUUUGAUAUAUUUUGUGCUACUGAGGCGUUGACUAACUAUGGUUGACUUUUUUUUUA